rnacentral:rRNA from 1 species
CGGAGGAUCCAAGCGUUAUCCGGAAUCAUUGGGUUUAAAGGGUCCGUAGGCGGUUUAGUAAGUCAGCGGUGAAAGCCCAUCGCUCAACGGUGGAACGGCCAUUGAUACUGCCAAACUUGAAUUAUAAGGAAGUAACUAGAAUAUGUAGUGUAGCGGUGAAAUGCUUAGAUAUUACAUGGAAUACCAAUUGCGAAGGCAGGUUACUACUUAUGGAUUGACGCUGAUGGACGAAAGCGUGGGGAGCGAACAGGAUUAGAUACCCUGGUAGUCCACGCCGUAAACGAUGGAUACUAGCUGUUCGGAGCAAUCUGAGUGGCUAAGCGAAAGUGAUAAGUAUCCCACCUGGGGAGUACGUUCGCAAGAAUG